AUGGAUCAGUGGAACGAUCUGGUUGGGGUGGUUAACUCUUGGCAUCUUUCCGAUGAGACAGAUGGCAUUCGAUGGAGAUUGGGGAGUAAAGGUAAAUUCUCGACCAAAUCGGUAUAUUCCUAUCUGGAGAGAAAUCUGGCAGGAUGUGAUUUCAGGUGGAUAUGGAAAGCAAAAAUCCCUUUAAAAAUUCAGAUUUUUCUCUGGCAACUAUUCCAAGAUGCGGUUUUGACUCGAGAUGUCAUGAGAAGGCGAAAAUGGGCAGGAAAUCCUAAAUGCUCGUUUUGUAAUGAAGUGGAAACCUCACAACAUCUCUUUUUCACUUGUCCUGUGGCUAGGGUGGUGUGGAGGACAGUUGGGUGUGUUUUUGGCACAUCGUUGUGCCCAAACAACCUUUGGCAGUAUUUCUCCUGGUGUUACAUCUUCCUUCCUGAUGGGGCUAAAUUUUAUACUUUUGGUUUGGCAGCUAUGUGCUGGGCGAUUUGGAUCAGUCGCAAUCAGGCUACCUUUGAGCACAAGUCUCUUAAAAGUCCUUUUAAUGUGGUGUAUGCUGCUUGUGGUUUUUUGACAUACUGGGCAGGUUUGAUGGCUGGUGAGGACCGGGAGUCCAUGGAGCGUGGAGCCAAGAUGCUGAGGUCGAACGCGUCGGCGAUGAUGAGGAUCUGUGCACCACCGUCAACGACGAACUGA
rnacentral:rRNA from 1 species